CAAAGUCUGUGCCUCAUCUGAUCAUCGCCCCACCUUUUCCCUAUCCCAACAUAAUUUAAAGAAAGCAGCACUUCCCCAUCAAUAGCUGUGGCCAAAAUCCUCAGUUAGAAUGACAGAUGCCGCCUACUGGAGACCAUCAGAAUUGCUGGUGGGGUGAGAAGGAAAGCUGUGAAUGGAAGAAAUCCCUCCAUCCCAAGAGUUCCAGUAUACUUCUGUCAGGACGCUAAUUCUCCAGAGACUACAGGGGAGGAGUGGAGGAAGAUGGCAGGUCACCCAUGUCUGAAGAUGCUAAAGAACUGAGUGGUGGACGAUUGGAUAAAACAGAUUCCUUUGAGAGGAUGACAUUUGAGCAGAUAUGAGGAAAACUGGAGACAGCCAAGCAAAUAUCUGGCGAGAGAAAGUUCUAAGAAGAGACAACAGUUAAUGAGAGGGCCCUUAUGUGGGAACAUGUCUGAUAUGCUCAGGAACAGAAAAGAAGACAGUGGAGUUGGACAAGAGUGA
rnacentral:lncRNA from 1 species